GGGGGAUGAGGAGAUCUGUUUUGAGUACAUCAGCAGUUUUAUGUACAGUAAGCCCUUAUUAGGGGGCUAGUCUGAGGAUACAGUCUUGUUUUGGAGAGGCCACUGCUAGGGUUUAACGUGCUGGAAGAGAUGAUGCAAGAACACCCUGAAAAGCUGACUCCCAUUGACCCAUUUGUGAAUAUUAUUGUAAAAUGUAAACAACAUGGGUAGUAAUUAAUGGAUAAUUAACAUUUAUUAAAGGCAUUUGUGACCCCUA